GUUCUUGUAGUUGAAUUUACAACGGUGGUUUUUCAAGUCGCUGGCCCUGGUUAGAGUCCUGGCAGGAAUU
rnacentral:tRNA from 1 species